rnacentral:rRNA from 1 species
CGUGUAGGCGGGCAGUCAAGUCAGAUGUAAAAGGCGACGGCUUAACCGUAGUAUGUCAUCUGAUACUGGUUGUCUUGAGUUCGAGAGAGGGUGGUGGAAUUCCCGGUGUAGCGGUGAAAUGCGUAGAUAUCGGGAAGAACACCUGAAGCGAAGGCGGCCACCUGGAUCGACACUGACGCUGAGGCGCGAAAGCGUGGGUAGCAAACA